UACGUAGGGCGCAAGCGUUGUCCGGAAUUAUUGGGCGUAAGGAGCUCGUAGGCGGCCUGUUGCGUCCGCUGUGAAAUCCCGGGGCUCAACCCCGGGCCUGCAGUGGAUACGGGCUGGCUAGAGGCAGGCAGGGGAGAACGGAAUUCCUGGUGUAGCGGUGAAAUGCGCAGAUAUCAGGAGGAACACCGGUGGCGAAGGCGGGUCUCUGGGCCGAUACUGACGCUGAGGAGCGAAAGCGUGGGGAGCGAACAGG
rnacentral:rRNA from 1 species